UACAGAGGUCUCAAGCGUUGUUCGGAUUCAUUGGGCGUAAAGGGUGCGUAGGCGGCGCGGUAAGUCGGGUGUGAAAUCUCGGAGCUUAACUCCGAAACUGCAUUCGAUACUGCCGUGCUUGAGGACUGGAGAGGAGACUGGAAUUUACGGUGUAGCGGUGAAAUGCGUAGAUAUCGUAAGGAACACCAGUGGCGAAGGCGGCUCACUGGCCCGAUACUGACGCUGAGGUGCGAAAGCGUGGGGAGCAAACAGG
rnacentral:rRNA from 1 species